CAGGAGGGUUGGAGAAAGUGAGAAAGGGCCCGAAAGCGUCAAGGGGCUGGAGCAAAUUGCUCGUGAGGAAGACGGUGCCUGUACAGAGAAAGGGGGCAGGGAGAGCUGUUGUCUCUCUCCUGAUAACAGACUCCAGGCCCGAUCCAGCUGGGCUUUUCUGAUGCUCGCCCUCGCCUGUUCCCGUCUCCCUCAUCCGGCCUGGGCAAAGCUCAUAGAUGAUGGGAUCUGUAGUCUGGCAACAUCUGGCGGGCCGCAGGCUUCCCUCCCAUCCCCUAAAUGGGGCUCCAGGAAAAGGUAUUUCUGUGCGCCGGAGUCAGUCCGCUCGCUUCUCCUGAGAAAUGCUUGGAAUGCCAGCACGUGCUCCGGUGGGGAUCUCUUGCAUCCCUCGGCGUCAUCCCGGAUUCCUGACCCCCGGCAGCCAUAAAUGGGCUUGUGCAAUGCGUCCCCAUAGGAGAAGAAUGUCAGGAACGAAACAGGCAGGGCUUUGGCACAGCGGAACAGCCUGACGCAAGCCAGAUGUGCAACAGGGGAACUGCUUGCAGAGAGCUUCUGACUAAUCCUGAGUCAGCAGGGCCUUGUUUGGGCUGAACAGGUGACUCAUCGCAACAGUUCUGAGGAAACAGAACAAGAUCCAAACUGCUCCAGCGUGGAAAAAUCCCUGCUGAAUCACAAGCCCCUUAGACGGGAUUAUGUCGGGGCUGGGGAACAAUAGCCGCCUCUUCGCCCUGCGAGGGGCUGGCGUCUCUCCGGCCCGGUGCGCGAGCGCAUGCGCCGGGAUCUCCUGGCAAGCCCGGCAGCGCCUUCUGCAUUCCAGCCCGGCACACUGCCACAGCUUGCAGGAAGCAGCGAGAGGGAAUCUUGGCCUUCCGCAAACUGGUGCUCUGCAGACGUUCCCAGCAUUCCCAGCCAUAUGGCCAGCGGCUGGAAUGAUGGGAGUGGUGAUUCAACAGAUCUGAACGAUAGCUUGUCCUCCUUUUGCUUUCUGUGCCAUACACACCUGGGAGCGCAGGUAAGGACGAGGCAUUGCCUAUUUUGCCUUCCUGGGGCCGUCUGACCUCCCACAGAAAUAGAUCACCUGCACUUACCAAUAAUCUUUUGCCAGGAGAUGUCGCCUCAGCCGAUCUCUCUGCUCAGGGAAAUUCUGAAGUCUAGAAUCACAGCUCAAAAGCGCUUCUCGGAAGUCAUUCAGGCGAGCUCCAAACCUUGAGCACAACGCUCCUUUCGGAAAAGGGACGGCCUCGCAGCCUCUAUACCAGUCCAGCCACAAACCAGCACCUGCCCCUGGAAAAUGCAUAUCGUGACCUGGGAGAACAUGCUGGCUUGAGAAGCAGGGUUCCUGCUUUACAAAGAACAUCCCUCUUUCAAGGGCUGCCCAGGCCAGGUCUGGCCAUGCACGUGGUGGGCAUGUCGUGAGCGGAGCCGGCUGGUGCCAGAGGUCAGACUAGAUGGCCUGGGGGACCCCUUCUGACUCACUCUGUUUCUGUGUUUCUAUGGCGUAACGAUGAUGACUCUGAAGAAGGGAGUUCUGCAGGGGCCUUGAGGUUGCCCUACAACAAGUAACAGCACCUGGGGAGCGGGCUGACAGGCACAAAAGGUCCCCAGGUCUCAGCUUUCCACACCUUGGUGAGAUGUAUGACUACCUCAGGGACUUGAAAGAAUCUUGCAGCACCUGAAAGAUUAAAAGCACAAUCCCAUGUGUAUUUGGACAAAAAUCUA